rnacentral:rRNA from 1 species
CGCGUGGACGGCUGUCUAAGUCUGGAGUGAAAGUCCUGCUUUCAAGGUGGGAAUUGCUUUGGAGACUGGAUGGCUUGAGUGCGGAGGAGGUAAGUGGAAUUCCCAGUGUAGCGGUGAAAUGCGUAGAGAUUGGGAGGAACACCAGUGGCGAAGGCGACUUACUGGGCCGUAACUGACGUUGAUGCGCGAAAGCGUGGGGAGCGAACA